AUGGAGGAGCUGUUGCAGAGGCUGCGGGACUCGGCGCACAAUGCCCAAGACUUGCUGGACGAGCUGGACUACUUCCGCAUCCACGACGAGCUCCAUGGCACGUACAAUGCUGCCGACCAGCACGACAAGGGUGGCUUCCACGACCUUGCCCUCAAUGCUCGCCACACUGCCAAAGCUGUUGGCAAACUGGUUAGCUGUUGCCCUUGGCAGCAUGCUAAGCGCCGGCAGAGGUCACCCGGCGAAUCCUCCUCAGCACAAGACACCAAUCAAGAAGUCAGCGGAUGCAUGCCCAAGCUGAUUGGUAAACUCCUACCUUGCUCAUCCUCCCAGGAUCCACAUAUUCGUGAGAAAGAUUGUGGCAGUGUGCAAGAAAUGGCAAAGUUUGAGUUUAAUAGGGUUGAUUUCUCUCGAAAGAUGAAGGACAUCAUAGAGAAAUUGCAGCUUGUGCGGAAGAAUGUUAAUGGCCUUUUGCAGAGUUGUGACCCUAGAAGUGUCUCAGACAUUGCCCAGUGUCGUCCUAUCACCAAGGGUCGAAUUGAUGAGCCAAAACUGUAUGGGAGGGACCGUGUCAUGGAUAGCAUUAUACAGAACAUCACCAAGGGUCAAUACGGUGACAAGGGUAUAACUGUGCUUCCGGUUGUUGGUUCAGGGGGAAUGGGGAAGACAACCAUACAACACGUAUAUCGCAGCCAACAAGUGCAGGAACACUUUCCAGUCAUGAUCUGGAUAUGUGUGUCACUCCAUUUCAAUCUGGAUAAGGUGCUAGAGCAGAUUAAAACAUGUACCCCUGCAGUUGAAAAGGAAAAAAGUGGCAGUACAACUGAAGAUUUGAUUGAGCAAAGAUUAAAAUCUAAAAGGUUCUUACUUGUAUUGGAUGAUAUAUGGAAGAUUAAUAAUGGGAAUGACUGGGGAAAAUUAUUGUCGACACUCAAUAAAUCAAAGGAAAAGGGUUCCAUGAUUCUCGUCACAACUCGGUUUCAAGCAAUAGCAAAGAAGGUUGAAACACCUGGCCACUCAAUUAAGCUGAAUGGUUUAGAGUGUAAAGAGUUUAGAAAGUUAUUCCUUGCAUUUGUCUUUGGUGAUGAGCAAUAUCCAAGGGAUAAAGAAUUUUUGCUUGAGACUGGAGAUAAGAUAAUGGAAAAACUAAAGGGCUCCCCUCUUGCGGCAAAAACGGUUGGUAGAUUACUGAGUAAAGACCUUAGUUUGCGUCACUGGAAAAGGGUCCUAAAAAGUAAAGGAUGGGAGAAGCAGAACGAUGACAAUGCAAUUAUGCCUGCCUUGAAGCUUAGCUAUGACUUUCUUCCUUUCCAUCUGCAACAAUGUUUUGCCUAUUCUGGAUUGUUUCCUGAAGAUUACAAUUUCAGAAGUGACGAGCUGAUCAGUCUAUGGAUUGGACUAGAUAUUUUGAAACCCAAUGGGCAAGACCAAAUAUUUGAAGACAUAGGUCUGAGCAAUUUAAAUGAGUUAGUCAUCCAUGGAUUUUUCAGAGAAGAGAAAACUUAUUAUGGUAUGCGUUAUGUUAUGCAUGACCUGCUGCAUGAUUUGGCAUUGAAGGUUGCAUCUCAUGAUUGUCUUAGUCUAAGUCUCCCUAGUGUUGGAUCAGUAGAGAUUCAGCCAACCACCCGUCACUUGUCUAUAAGCACAUAUGGUUUAGGUAAAUAUGAUGAAGUGUCUGGUAAAAAAUUGAAGAGUGAAUUGGAAGAACUAAAGACAAGAUUUAAGGUUGAAGAAUUGCAAGCAUUGAUGUUAUUUGGAAAAAUGGAUGAAGGUUUUGUCAAGAUAUUUGGUGAUUUUUUGGGGGAAGUGAACACUCUUCGUGUUCUUCAUUUGCCCAAAAUGCUUUGUCCCGUGGAGUUCAUGUUACAUAACUUUUCGGGACUUCUCCACCUACGAUACCUAUGUCUAGGGACACAUGACAUCCAGAUGCAUUUACCACUUAGCAUCUCUAAAAUUUAUCAUUUAAGGAUUCUAGAUCUUAAAUGGUGGAAUGGCAGUCGUGAUUUGCCUGAUGACAUGAGCAACCUUGCCAAAUUGUGCCAUUCUUAUGUCCCAAAUGAUGAUAAGCUUCAUUCUGAUAUUUAUAAUGUGGGAAAGCUUAAACUCUUAGAAGAGUUAAAGGUAUUUGAAGUCAAUAAAAAAUGUGAAGGGUUUGAACCAAAGCAACUAGAGCACUUGACCAAGCUAAGGGAGCUUGGCAUCUACAACCUUGAGAAGAUAGAUACAACAGAAGAAGCAGCUCAAGCAAAACUGAUGGAGAAAAAUUACUUGAGGAGGUUAACAUUGGACUGGGAUAGUAAGCGAUCUAGUGUUGAUCCUGGUGUGGAAGCAGCGGUUCUUGAGAGCCUUCAUCCACAUGGAGAUCUUCAGGUGUUGUGCAUUAGAGGGCACGGAGGUCCUUCUUGUCCAACAUGGCUGGGUGAUGAGUUCGCUGCUGAAGGUCUACAAGCUCUUUAUCUGUAUGGUGUUUCUUGGGAAGUUUUUCCUUCUUUAGGGAAGGCGUGGGAUCUUCGUGAAUUAAGGUUUGAGCAUAUUGCCAGGCCGAAGGAGUUUACUAUAGAGAAAAGCUUUUGCAUGCUAAUAAAGUUUGAACUCAUUGGCCUAGGAAGUUUUGAAAAAUGGAUUUUCCCAGAUGCUCAUACGUUCCCUCUCUUGCAAGUGCUGAUUAUUAAAGAGUGCCCGAAAUUCUUAGAGUUUCCAAUUUCAAAC
rnacentral:rRNA from 1 species